CUAUGGACUUAAUUGGAUUGAGUUGGAAACUUACUAAGCGAUAACUUUCAAAUUCAGAGAAACCCUGGAAUUAAAAAUGGGCAAUCCGGAGCUAAAUCCUGUUUUCCGAAAACAAACAAAGGUUUGGAAGGAAAAAUGACUCCCAACUAAAAGGCUGCCAAAAAAUAUUCCUAAAUUAGCACUCUUUGAUCAUCUUUUCUUUUUAAUAACUAAAGUUUCUUCUAUCUAGGAG
rnacentral:ncRNA from 1 species